UACAGAGGGUGCAAGCGUUAAUCGGAAUUACUGGGCGUAAAGCGCACGUAGGUGGCUGGGUAAGUUGGAUGUGAAAUCCCCGGGCUUAACUUGGGAAUUGCAUUCAAGACUGCCUUGCUAGAGUGCGGAAGAGGGAAGCGGAAUUCCAGGUGUAGCGGUGAAAUGCGUAGAUAUCUGGAGGAACAUCAGUGGCGAAGGCGGCUUCCUGGUCCAACACUGACACUGAGGUGCGAAAGCGUGGGGAGCAAACAGG
rnacentral:rRNA from 1 species